rnacentral:rRNA from 1 species
CCAGCCAUGCCGCGUGAGUGAAGAAGGCCUUCGGGUUGUAAAGCUCUUUCAGAUGCGAAGAUGAUGACGGUAACAUCCGAAGAAGCCCCGGCUAAUUUCGUGCCAGCAGCCGCGGUAAUACUAAAGGGGCUAGCGUUGUUCGGAUUUACUGGGGGUAAAGGGCACCCAAGCGGUCUUGCCAGUCAGGGGUGAAAGCCCGGGGCUCAACCCCGGAACUGCCUCUGAUACUGCAAGACUAGAGACUAGGAGAGGGUGGUGGAAUUCCCAGUGUAGAGGUGAAAUUCGUAGAUAUUGGGAGGAACACCAGAGGCGAAGGCGGCCACCUGGACUAGAUCUGACGCUCAGGUGCGAAAGCGUGGGGAGCAAACAGGAUUAGAUACCCUGGUAGUCCACGCCGUAAACGAUGAGUGCUAGUUGUCGGGACUUCGGUUUCGGUGACGCAGCUAACGCAUUAAGCACUCCGCCUGGGGAGUACGGUCGCAAGAUUAAAACUCAAAGGAAUUGACGGGGG